rnacentral:rRNA from 1 species
GGGGUCCGAGCGUUAAUCGGAAUUACUGGGCGUAAAGGGUCUGUAGGUGGUUUGUUAAGUCAGAUGUGAAAGCCCAGGGCUCAACCUUGGAACUGCAUUUGAUACUGGCAAACUAGAGUAUGGUAGAGGAAUGGGGAAUUUCUGGUGUAGCGGUGAAAUGCGUAGAGAUCAGAAGGAACACCAAUGGCGAAGGCAACAUUCUGGACCAAUACUGACACUGAGGGACGAAAGCGUGGGGAUCAAACAGGAUUAGAUACCCUGGUAGUCCACGCUGUAAACGAUGAGUACUAGCUGUUGGAUUCGGUGUAAAGGAUCUAGUGGCGUAGCUAACGCGUUAAGUACUCCGCCUGGGGACUACGGCCGCAAGGCUAAAACUCAAAGGAAUUGACGGGGACCCGCACAAGCGGUGGAGCAUGUGGUUUAAUUCGAUGCAACGCGAAGAACCUUACCUGGUCUUGACAUCCUGCGAACUUUCUAGAGAUAGAUUGGUGCCUUCGGGAACGCAGUGACAGGUGCUGCACGGCUGUCGUCAGCUCGUGUUGUGAAAUGUUGGGUUAAGUCCCGCAACGAGCGCAACCCCUAUUGAUAGUUACCAUCAUUAAGUUGGGUACUCUAUUGAGACUGCCGCUGACAAGGCGGAGGAAGGUGGGGACGACGUCAAGUCAUCAUGGCCCUUACGACCAGGGCUACACACGUGCUACAAUGGGUAUUACAGAGGGCAGCGAAGUAGCGAUAUGGAGCGAAACUCAGAAAGGUACUCUUAGUCCGGAUUGCAGUCUGCAACUCGACUGCAUGAAGUCGGAAUCGCUAGUAAUCGAAGGUCAGAAUACUGCGGUGAAUACGUUCCCGGGUCUUGUACAAAAGGCCCGUCACUACCAUGGGAGUGGGUUGCUC